UACGAAGGGGGCUAGCGUUGCUCGGAAUCACUGGGCGUAAAGGGUGCGUAGGCGGGUCUUUAAGUCAGGGGUGAAAUCCUGGAGCUCAACUCCAGAACUGCCUUUGAUACUGAGGAUCUUGAGUUCGGGAGAGGUGAGUGGAACUGCGAGUGUAGAGGUGAAAUUCGUAGAUAUUCGCAAGAACACCAGUGGCGGAGGCGGCUCACUGGCCCGAUACUGACGCUGAGGCACGAAAGCGUGGGGAGCAAACAGG
rnacentral:rRNA from 1 species